GGUUGACCUCGGAUCAGGUAAGGAUACCCGCUGAACUUAAGCAUAUCAAUAAGCGGAGGAA
rnacentral:rRNA from 1 species